rnacentral:lncRNA from 10 species
GCCGUUGGCGACGUUAGAGGCGCGGGUGUUCGGCUACAUCACUGGGGCGCCAUGGUGCCUGGAGCUGGGCAGUUUUCUCAUCAGAGUGGGGACUGGUAAGAGUGACCUCCCCGCCAGGUUCUGUGUGUUGCCGGCUGAAGAAGGGUAGCUGAAAAAUUCAGACCCAGCACAGUGUUUAUGUUGGUCAAAAAUAGAAAACUAUGUCUGGCGCGGCCGAGGCGGGAGGACCCUUCAGGCCAAGAGCAGCCUAGCAACAUGGCGCAACCCCAUCUCUGUAGUCCUACCUCAGCCCCCCAGCUACUUGAACCCAAAGGUUCAAGGCUCCAGUGAGCUAUGAUCCCACCACAGCAUUCCAGCCUGCGAGAUUGAGAUGAUGAUUAUUCCCCACCUUCUAAGAGACAAAGACCAACGAGCCACCACAGCCACCAGUCCCAGAACCCGCCAAUGCUGGGGAACGGAAAAUGAGGGAGUUCAACUCUGGCCCUCACAAUCCAGUGGAGGAGACGCAACUCAUCUGCCUCUGUCCCUCUGGGCACGCCUCAUGCCAGGUGCAUCUGUGGACAGGGGCCAUGCUCCUGGGCUUCCAAAGUUGGAGAAAGCUGCCAGGCUCAGGUCUGAAGGCCAGAAUUCUACAGUAAGUCCUACUGAGUCAAGGUGGGAGCAGGGUCGGUAGCUUCCGAGGCUCUGCGGGAGAAUCUGUUUCCUGGCCGUAGAGGUGGCCUGCACUCCUCAGCCUGUGCUGCCCGUCUCGAAUGACUGGAGUUUCCUGCUUCUGUCACUACACCUCCCACCCUCUCCAUCACCUGCUCUGCUCUUACAAGGAUCCGAAGAAAUGGAAUCAUCGUAUCGCUGAUCUACGUAAACAAACUGAAGAAUUGUCUGAAAGAAAAUAUGACAUGAACUUAUGAAUUCAACAGGUGAAGAUUUACAACUUGAUAAAUCAACUUUGUCAGCUGAUCCAUAUGAAUUCCUCUUAUUAAGAAAAAUAAAGCAUCCAGGAUUCAAUGAAGAACUGACUAUCACCUUGUUAAUCAUUCAGAAACAUGUUGCAGGCUUAAGCCAUUUUUGAUAUAGAUACUGAAACAAUUACUUGCUAAGAGCAAACUUGAAGGUAUGGAUAAGGCCCUGAGUCAUCUUCCUGAGCUGAAUGAUAGUUAAGCUGAAUGUACGUAUAAAAUAUGAUUUUCUAACCACUUGCUCGCCAACAAGGAAAACUUUUAAGUAGAGCAGAACCUGAAUAGACAAGACAUUUCUUUCUUUUGGUAGAAAAUGAUUUACCAUCACUGUGUAGUUAAUUGUAGACUAGGUAAUUUUAACUUUGUGAUUUAUUGCCGGAGACAUUUUCUUCUGUACUGUAAAGUGUGUGUCAAAAAAAAAAAUAGCGAUUUUGGAGGAUUAGGGGACUUUGAUAAAUUGCCUGCAAUUCUGGCAGUAUGAACUGCAUAUUAAUUUCUCUCUUUCAAGAACAUUUUUAUUUAUUAAUUCCUUACAAAAACUCCCUAAACUUUGGAACAGCUCUCAAUUGCCUGUAUUCUUUUUUUUCUUAUUAUGGUACUCUUCUAGAGAUUUGGCUUGCAUCUGUGAAUAAGCCAGGACAUCUUCAGAAAUUGUCUGAUUAAAAACACCACCAAUGGAGUUUCGUUAAAUUUGUAUUGCUCUGACUAGUGAAACAUACACAUCUAUGUUGCUGAGGAUAUUUUACUGCAGUUCAAGUUGUAAUAAUAGCUCUGUUUAAGAUCCGUCAGUCACUUGAAUCUUCUCUAAGGCUUUGUAUGUUAGAAGUUAAUUUGCUUUCUUACAAGGCCACAUUCUAUCUUGUAACUAAACAACUGAAUUUUAUGUCUUAGCGUAGAUGGUUUAUUACUUUCUGGUUUUUCUUUAGUAAGAAUCCUAUAAAAACACUAGUAUUUUUCUCUGAGUUUAAAAUUCAAUACAUGCCUACUGAUAUGGUUAGGCUUUGUAUCCCCACCUGAAUCUCGUCUUGAAUUGUAAUCCCCAUAGCCCCCAUAAUCCCCACAGGUCAAGGGAGAGACCAGGUGGAGGUAAUUGAAUCAUGGGGGCAGUUUCCCCUGUGCUGUUCUUGUGAUAGUGAGUUCUCACGAGAUUUGAUGGUUUUAUAAGGGAUUCUUUCCCCUUUGCUCGGCACUUCUUCAUGCUGCCUUGCGAAGAAGCUGGCUUGCUUCCUCUUUGUCUUCCGCCAUGAUUGUAGAUUUCCUGAGGCCUCCCAAGCUGUGCUGAACUGUGAGCCAAUUAAACUUCUUUCCUUUAUAAAUUACCCAGUCUUGGGCAGUUCUUUAUAGCAGUAUGAAAACAGAAAAAUACACCUACUAUGUAAAACUUAAAAUACAAAAAAACAAAACAUUAUCUCACUAACAUAGGAGCUAAUAUUUUGGUGUACUUUGUUUAGUAUUUUAUAUUAAAAAUAUGUACAUAUAUAUUUAUAUAUAAUUAAGAACAUGUAUGUACAAUCGUGCAUACAUCAUGUACAUACAUCUACUUAAGAAAAUAGCUAUGUAAUAUACCAUUACUCAACUAGAUUAUAAUUUUUUCUCCAUUUCUUUAUUGUAAUUUAUCAUUUUCUACUUUUUUGUUUUCUCAUUUUUAUUGCAUAAUAUUUAAUUAUGCAAAAAAUAUAUUAAAUACAUUGAAAAUAUAUAGUGUAGCUAUAAGAAUAAAGAACGAUGGUAAAACAAAUGCUAAUACCCACUACCUGACUUAAAGAAUAUGAUAUUAUUUUUUUCCAAUUGAAAUUCCCUCAACUACUCAGAAUUACUGCUAUCCCUCUUAUCCUUUCAUUAAUUUUCUUCUAGUUUUCUCACAUGUGAAUCUAUUUCUAAAUACAUUUCUUUAUUUUGCAAGUUUUGGGACUUCAUAUAAAUGUAACCAUAUUGUAUAUAUUCUUCUUCAGCUUCUUAGUUUUUCACUAAACAAUAUGUUUUGCUGAUACUUACAUUCAUAUGUACAGUAAUAGUUGAUUUAUUUUAAUGGCUAUAUAUUAUUCCAUUGUUAGAAUACACCAGGAUUUAUUUUUACUUAUUUUUUUUGCUGGAAAAUUGGGUGUCUUUUUUAUUUUUUGAUAUAACAAACAAUGUUGUAAUCAUUUUGUAUUUACUUCCUAGUCCACUCCUGUAAGUUUCUCUUGAGUACAUACUAGCAAUGAAUAUGCUGAGUCACUGCAUAUACAUACUCACAACUUUAUUCUAUAAUGUAAUAUUCUAUAAAGUAGCUGUAUCAGUUUAUACUUUAACCAGUAAUGGACAAGAUUUUCUGUUACUUCCCAUCUUUGUUAAUUAUUACUUUUAGACUCUAACUUUUAUCAGGCUCAUGGAUGUAAAAAGCAUCUCAGGGUGGUUUUAAUUUGCAUUUAUCUGCUCAUCUAUGAAGAUGAGCUUCUUUUCAUAUAAUUAUGAGUCAUUAUUUUUGUUUUGCCUUCUUUUGUUUAUGCAUUUUGCUUGUUCUAUGUCUUAUUUUUCCUGUUGAUUUUUGGGAGUUCAUAUAUAUUCUAAAUGUAUAUUUAUUCACUUAUAUAUAUGUUGUAAAUAUUACAGUUUAUGAUUUGUCACCUUAUGAUAUCUUCCAAAUAGAGAAGCUUUAUAUUUUGAUGUAGUCAUAUGUUCAUUUUUCCUCCUUAAUGUUUGUUUUUCUUGGUUCUAUGACCUACCAAAAGUAACAAAAAUUCUCAUUUAUUUUUAAUCUAAAUGUUUUAAGUAUUUUCCUGGAAUUCACCUUGAAUUGAUUUCUAUUGGAGAUAGGU